ACUCAAUAAAAUAAAGAUUCCAAAGGGGAUCACGUCCAUUCAUCAGGAUCAAACUACUGAAAUCUCAACUACUUCAGCGAUUUUGUUAAUAUUCAGACGUCCAUUGCUGGCGAAGUAACAUGGAGACAGUUUCCAUUGAGACUACCUUUAACGAAUACAAAGAUAAUUAAAAAGAAAGAAUUGCGGCACGGGCACUCACUAAAUAUCCUGUUUUCGUAAAAUUAUCGACACGGCCGCCAUUAAGGAUGCUGACACGAAUUACAGCGGUCACGAAUUAAGAGACGCGGGAUCACGAGUAUUCGUUGCUUGGACCCCCUCCCGUUCGUCUCGAUCUCUUUUUCCACGCUCGGCCGAGCGUUUUACUAAAUUACUCGAGGCUACUGUGUAAAAUAUAGCCGCCGCCGAUGAUAUCGUUGUACCCGCCGCCCGAGACGCGCCAAUGGGACUCGUUUAAUUACACGAUAAAUUUUCAUCCGGGCAAACACCUGUCCACAGUUUAUUAAAAAGUAAUUGGUCGAUGUGUAUCGUCUCUCGCCGGCGCGUUUGAUAAAUAAAAUUUACUUUGCCGAUUAAAAUUCGUGACUUUAUGGGACGCCUGAAGAACAUCCAGAGUAAUUAAUGGUUGCACUUGAUUAGUAUAAGUAUAAUGCUAGCCGCGUAUACCGUUGUUUUCCCGUAGCGUUGGAGUAAUUUAUUUUGAAAGUUUAUCGACUGAUAACGGGUGUGGCCAGACGAGCGAUUUAUUUAUUUGUGGAGAGGGAUGAACUUCGUACAGAUGGGAAGGAAUUAAAUGCUUAGGCUAAGAUUUUCUACCCAAGUCCUUUCCAGUGUCGAUUGCGCCCCCCAAAUACUAUACUUUCAAACCGAAUUUUCGCUCAGAAGCAAACGCGAGAUCGAUUGGACAGAUACCAGUGGAAUCUGGGACUCGAAGGCUGGUAUUCGAAAAGUGCCGGCUGGAAGAGCCGAGUCGUAAAAUCGUAGAGGAACGUCGCCACCAUUCGGCGCGCCGUUAAAUUACAGAGGACGCGAACAAUGUCUGAAUCGCUUCUGUCAUCGUCGUUUACUCGUCGAAUCGUCGCGCAGUGCCGCGAGAACUAUUUCGCGCGGCGAUCACGCAAAUGGCCAUUGGUCGGCGCGAGUUACGAUCCUGCGGAACAAUCUUCGAUUGCGUUUGAAGACCAGACGGUUCGUCGUGGACAAAUAACGCAGUUCGCGGAUUGUGCUUGGAAGUUUGCUGCGGAUUGCGCUGUUUCGAAUGGCUCGAUUACUCCUAAUUGUCAGACUUUAGUGGACGAUUUGAACGAGUGAGGAAGAAGAAGAAGAAGAAGAAGAAGAAGACUAUUGUUGUGUAGGAGAUGAACUUCAAACACGAUGUUGAUUAUAGUGAAGAUCAUACAUUAAUUAUCCUAUACUGGGGAUGUUAUGCAAAGAUGAACUUCAAACACGAUGUUGAUUAUAGUGAAGAUCAUACAUUAAUUAUCCUAUACUGGGGAUGUUAUGGAAAGAUAAACUUCAAAAAAUUGCUAGUCGCCAACGGCGUAUGGAGUUCCCAGAUGGUCACCCAUUUACACAAACUAAUUAUCCAAUUACAGAGAAGACUGUGUUCCGUAACGAUAGAGUCGUAAUCAAGCCUUUGCUAGCUAGAAUUGCAAUGGUGAACAUCGAAGUUAGGCGCAUCAGUGACUGGUUGCGUGUCUGACAUGGAAUGAUGAUUCUACUGAACAGUGAUCUUGGCUGUUCCAGUGUUGCUUGAGAGCAUGCGACUAUGUCCAUUCUAUCGAUAGUCGAAGAUUAAGUUGCAAAUUACAGGUUUUUAGAAUAAUUACCUUCAAAGAAAUGCUUAUAUCUUUCUUUUCAAAGAUCAAGUCACUGCAAAAACACGUGAGCUUCUUACAAAUGGGACUUGAAUCGGCAUACACCCACACACAUAUAACCGAGUUAUAAUAUUAUGUUGGCUAAAAAGUUCGUUCGGUUUAUGGUGGUGUUUGUUUUAACUUGGUGAAGACUUUUACAAACCCAGUAUCAUGAAUUUGCCCAAAAGAUAGUAAAAGAUCAUAUAACAGAAUGGACAAUACAUUAUAGAAUAAAUAUAUUUUCAUGUCUAAAAAAAAUCUUAGACUUAAUACAUAUAAUAAUAACCGAAUAUUUUUCAUAGCAUCUAGAAUAUAUACAAAUAUUAUAUAAAAGAACAAUUCUGAUCUUCGAUUCAAUUGGAAUUAUUUCCAAAAGGUCACACUUGGACGACUGCUAAUUUGGUUGCCUCUUUUUUACUAAUUCUUCUCGAAAACAAUUAAACAUAAAAUAAAUAAUCGAACUCGUGUAGAAAACUACGAUUGCUAAGUUGUUCAAAGAAAACGUAACCAACGUUAUCGUCGUCUGUAAUAACUGAACGAAAAAAGUGUGUCGACCUCCAACACAGUAACAUCAACCACGCAAGAUGUGAAAUUGAAUAUCACUGGUCAAAAUUGACCCAGCUCGAAAAAUUCCUAAAGUCACGCGUACUGUUUUCGUGUCUCCAGGUAAACGUAACCCCGUGACGCUUCCACAGACCGUUUCAGCGCGGAUAUUCCAAGUUUUCGAUCAGCACGAGCUGAUCGACUUUUUGUCACGGCUGCUUUUUGCGCGAUCAUCGCCACCUUCGUCACGGCCACGCCCGGGCACGUGAGGCACGUGUACUCCAACACGGUGUUACAGGUGUUUGCCCAUCCUCGGACGUCAAGGAUUCUUUUACGCUCUUUCGGGCUCAGUCUAUUAACGCCUGCUGCCUAGCAACUUCUUGAACUCCGAACUACGGUGACUCAUGUUUUAUUUAAUUCCAUUCGGUUCGCUGCUCGAAUUCCUACCAUCGGGUUCCUCUUCGUUUUCUACGGUUCGCUUCGACACAGUACACUGUUCCCAUGGCUCUCAGCUUCUUUUUUCCUCUUAGCUUUUUCCAGCCCUCUCCCCUUUUUUUUCUCUUCAGUGUCGUCGAAAGAGUCGUAACUUCGUUAAGCGUUUUUACCAGGAAUCGGUAGCCAGCGGAACUCGACGAUUUGAAACACAAAAUUGCCUUGGGUUUUAUUAACGGGUGAAAGAAAGGUUUUAGGUGGAUUAUUCCGUGGAACAAAUCGUCGAAAGUUUUAGAAAACGGAGUUGUAGGAGAGAGCAUGAUAGUAUUCUUGCCGUUGGGUUUGUUUUGGGGACAGUUCGAUACCGGAGGCCUAUGAUGAUUUCUUCGCGUAGUCGACGCUUGGAAUUAGGCUCUUUGAAAUCUUUUGUCGAUAGCGUGGUGUAAACGAAAUUUUUCAAACGCGCAGUGUAGACAUAUUGUUUUUGUGGGAUCUCAUAGUAGGAGCGGAUAAAACGUUUUGGUGCCUUGAGGAUUAGUAUACUGUGUUAUCCUUGGUUUUUUUUAGGUGGAAAUUAGGUUAAAAGACUUUCAUUUAAGCGUAUAUUAAAUCUACUAUCAUGUCGGAAUUAACCCUUUGCACUCGAGGCAUUCUAUUGCCACGAAUCUAAGCUUACAUUGACCUUGCAGAUGUAGCUACUUUGAGAUUUAAAAAUCAGGUCACCUUUACCUCACCGACAAUCAUUUUAUUGACAUUUUGAGAUUCAAAGAAAUUAAACCUCAAUAAACGUUAUUGUUGAUUGAUUCGCUGCGUGAAAUCUAGUGGCGACCGAGAGUCACUUAUCGAGUGCAAAGGGUUAAUAAGUUUGGAUCUCUGUAACGAUUCCCAAUUUAUUCGACGAAACUUGCACAUUUACACUAAUCAACAAAGUAUAUCCACUUCUCAAUUAUAAUUCUACUAAACUACGCCUAGAGUUACCACUUGUAUUUCCGUCCCAAUUAAAUUUCUCAUCAACAAAAUAACUAUUCAAUGCGCGUACGCCAUGGCAGAGAAUUUCGAAACGUAGAAAGUGGAUAAUAAGCGUAAUGUUUAAUUCCGUGGAUGGUCGAAUUGUUUUCCUGGCACUUUUACCAGACUCUUGGUGGCUCCUCGCCGGCGAUAGGAGCGUUAAAUAAUUUCUGCGGAAUGACGGAAAGUACUUUAAGCCAGUGCUAUCUUCGCGUUCGCGGCAACGAACGUACGAGAAGAAUCGUUCGACAAGAAACCGAUGAAGGGUUUAUCUUAAUCCACGGUUCACCGAGCAGACGAGCUCCUCGCCAAUCCCCAUUGACCACCCCUUCGAUCGACUGUACCCCCUGCACACCCUUUUGCCAUAACCGAUCACACUUCGCUUGUUUUACUAGCCACUUUUUACCCACUGACAAACUUGCAACCAGAAUCACGUCCUUCACCCAUGCGCGACAACAUAAUGUUACUCCCAUAACGUUCAUUCUUGGAUAGACUCUCUACACACUAUUGUGUGUUGGUACAUUGUUUCACUGAAUUCAAAGGGGAUACAAACGUUCGGAGGCUCGUCUGUCCCGUGACUUUUACUCUAAGAUUAACCUUCUAUGGAUCUGGCUAACUUUCAGGUCACAUGUUAAUAUAUCAGCAUUUUACCAAAUGAUUUUAAUCUUUUCACAAAAUGACGUAUAUGUCUUAAUUAUAUACUAUCUCUGAUAAUCACUAAUAAUAUUAAUGGUGGUUGACAGCACCAACAAUUUGAAAUAUUAAAAUAAAUGCCUUGCAAGUUGUUUGCAGAAAACAAAAAUUCGGUCCAUAGAGGAUUAAAGUGCUUUCAGGUGCCAUGCUAUUAAUAUUUCUGGAGUGGUAUUAUUUUAGAUAUAUUGAGAUUUUAUUUUGCUUGUAAUUUUGUACUCUUUGUUCAAUAGCAUUCGAUAACUAUCAAUAUCAAGAAUAAAUGAUAUUGGGUACUUCAAUACGUUGUGAGAUGUUUCACUUAAAAUACUUAUGAAAAAGAAAUUAAAUCGUUUUGGGGCAGAAAUUAAAUUCAAUGUGGAAAGAAUUGUAGUGGUCUAUGUUAAAAUAAUUGUAGUGGUGCUAUGAGAUUCUCUAUAAAAGAUAAAGAGUACGAGUGUGUAAAUUGUUUCAUUUCUCUUCUUCUUUAUUCAGGAAUAUCACGGAAAUUAAAUCUUCAUACAAAAUGAAAUAAAAUUCCAUGUAA